UUUUUUUUUUUUUUUAAAAUCACAUGAUUGGCUCCUCUGGCGACCAGAUCCCAUCUUCCAAGAGUCACCUCAUUAGCACUGACUCCAGUAUGAUUGAAAGGGGCUUUUAAAAUUAUUAUUUCAAUAGAUGUUUGGAGAAUAGGUGGUAUUUGGUUGCAUGAAUGAGUUCUUUAGUGGUGAUAUCUGAGAUUUUGUGCACCCAUUACCUGAGCAGUAUAUACUCUACCAAAUUUGUGUUUUUUUAUCCCUCACCCACCUCCCUCCCUUUGCCCUGAGUCCCCAAAGUCCACGGUAUUAUUCUUUUUUAUUUAAUAGAGAUGGGGUUUCACCAUGUUGGCCAGGCUGGUGUCAAACUCCUGACCUCAAGCGAUCCACCCGCCUCAGCCUCCGAAAGUGCUGGAAUUACAGGAGUGCACCACCAUACCUGGCCUGUGUCAUUCUUAUGACUUUUCAUCCUCAUAGUUUAGCUCCCACUUAUGAGUGAGAACAUACAAUGUUUGACUUUCCAUUCCUGAGUUACUUCACUUAGAAUAAUAGUCUUGAAUUCCAUCCAGGUUGCUGCAAAUGCCAUUAUUCUGUUCCUUUCUAUGACUGAGUAGUAUUCCAUGGUAUAAAUAUACCACAGUUUGUUUAACCACUCAUUGAAUGAUGGGCAUUUAGGCUGUUUCCAUAUUUUUGCAAUUGCAAAUUGUGCUGCUAUACACAUGUGUGUGCAAGUAUCUUUUUCAUAUAAUGACUUCUUUUUCUCUACCCAGUAGUGAGAUUGUUGCUGAUACUAUUCUUUUAAUGGUUAUCCUAGAAAUAAAAACAUGAAUACUUAUUACUAAGCAAGCAAUGGACUUGCUGACUGAUGUUUAUAGAAGCCAAUGUUACGGCAGAGGCUUUUGAGAAAAGAAAGACUUCAUUGUGAAUCAACUAUCAAAAAAGACAGGAAGCAAUGCUCAAAUCUCCCAAAAAAAGUGCUCAAAUCUCCCCAAAAAAUCUCCCCAAGCCAGGGGCUUGGGCAGGUUUUACAGGAAAAGGGUAAUUAGGUGUGAUCUAAUUGGAUCUUGCAAAGAGGUAAUGCCUGGGGGUGUGGUCUAACUGGAUGAUGCCAUGAGGUGAUGCCAGGGUACUAUCUCAUUAGAGCAUGAGAUGAGGUAAUCCCCAGGCUUGCGGCCAUAUGCAGUCCCUGUUCCUCCAUAUGAGAGGCUUGGUUCCACCUGUGGUUGACUGUUUAGUUCUGCCUGGAUCUGGAGUCAUGAAUAAAGCAUAUUUGGUUCAUCUGGGCAUGCUCGGGUUAUGUGCCCUGCCUUCUAAGGCUUCACAGCAAUUGAAAAACAAUUCACCAUUUUAGUAUACAAAGAUGAACUAGAUUGAGCUGGUUCUAUGGUUACAUACUUAACAAAAUCUAAAGAUAUCCUCCUCCUAGACAAUGAAUGGACCUCAGAAAAAAAUUUAAUUUCAUUUACCCUUUUCCUAAAUUAUAUGUUAUUGUUGUGAGUAUUAACUCUAUGUUUUUUUUCAAUCCCACUAAAUAUUAUUGUUCAUCUUUUUCCUUUAGGAUUAUCUAGAUACUUAUCACUUUCAUUGCUCUUUACUUUUUCUUGCAUGUUAUGUCUUCCAUUGGAAUUAUUUUCUUUUGCCUGAAGUAUAUUCUUUUUGUUUUUUUAAACAGGAUGUCACUCUAUCACCCAAGUUGGAGUAUAGUGGCACAAUCAUAGCUCACUGCAGCCUCAAACUCCUGGGUUCAAGCAAUCCUCCUGCCUCAGCAGCUCAAGUAGCUAGGACUAAAGGCAUGCACCACCACACCCAGCUAAUUUUUUUUUAAGAGGCAGGGUGUGAUAUGGUUUGGCUGCGUUCCCACCCAAAUCUCAUCUUGAAUUGUAGCUCCCACAAUUCCCACAUGCUGUGGGAGGGACCUGGUGGGAGAUAAUUGAAUCAUGGGGGUGUUUUCCCCCAUACUGUUAUCAUGGUAGUGAAUAAGUCUCACAAGAUCUAAUUGUUUUAUAAAGGGAACCCCCUUUUGCUUGGGUCUCAUUCUCUUUCUUUGUCUGCCACCAUGUGAGACAUGCCUUUCACCUUCUACCAUGAUUGUAAGCCCUCCCCAGCCACGUGGAACUGUGAGUCCAUUAAUCCUCUUUCUUUUGUAAAUUGCCCAAUCUCAGGUACGCCUAUAUUAGGUGUCACUGUGUUUCCUAGGCUGAUCUCAAACUCCUGGCCUCAAGCAAACUUCCUGCCUCAGUCUCUGCAAGUGUUGGGAUUACACACAUGAGCCACCAUGCCUAAUCAAGAUGUAUAUUCAUUAAAAUUUCAUUUAGUAAUGCUCAGCUGAUAGUGAAUUCUCUCAGCUUUCAUUUAUCUGAAAAUGCCUUUUUUAAAAGUCAUUUUUGAAAAAGGUAUUUUUUUGUUGCUUACAGAAUACAAGAUUGGCAAUUAUUUUCCUUCAGCAAAUUGUCUUCUUAUUUAAAUUGUUGUGAUUGAGAAGUCUGUGUUUCACUCUGAUAAUAUUUUGAAAGUAAUUGCUUUAAACAUUUUCUCUUGCCUUUGGCUAUCAUCAUUUUUAUUAGUAUUUGUUAUUUUAUCAUGAUAUUUAUUUGAGGCUAGAUGAGGACACCUUUGUACUUAGUGUGCUUCCCAUAUUUGUGAAUUUGUGAUCUUCCAUUAAUUCCAGAAAAUUCUCAGAUUUCACCUCCUAACAUAUUGCCUCUCUCAUUCUCUUUCUUUAGAACUCCACUUAGCUAUAUUAGAGCUCACUUUAUUCUCCUCACCUUCUAAUCCUCCUUCCAUAUUUUGUAUCUUUUUGUGUCUCAAUAAUACAGGCUAGAUGAAUUAUUCUACCCUGUUUCAGUUAACUAAUUUUCUCUGUGGUAGGGUUUAAUCUUUUGUUAAACAUAUCCAACAUAUGUGUAAAGUUUAGUCUUUCAAUUUUCCAUUUAUUAUUCUAUUUGGUUCUUUUUUAGAUUUGGUAGGUCACUUUUUAUAUGGUUCUAUUCCUGCAUAUAUAUAUUUUUUCUUUAAACACAGUAAACCUGAUUGGUUUACAAUCAAUCCAUGGCUGACAUUUUCACUGCCUGAAGUGUUUACAAGUUUAUUUCUGCAAACUGAUGUUUCUGCUUUUUCCUUUUUCUCUUUUUGUGCCCAUAAUGCAGUGAAUCUAUGUACACUCUUUAAAUUGUGUGCUAGGCACUAUCCAUGAACAUUUAUUUGUGGAGACUUUUUGAGACCUAAGAUAAAGGUAUCUCUACCCAGUGGUAAAUGCCUAGUGGUACUAUUAGUAAAAGGACCACUUUUUUUUCUAACUUUUUAAACAACAUUAUUGAGAAACCACAUAAAACAAUACUUGCAUAGUUUAAUAAUACAUAUCAGCACCUUUUAACAAGAGGUUAUAAACUGUGUAACCACUGUCAAUGCCAACAUGUAGAAUUUUCUCCUUAGAAAAUCACCGUGUGUCAGAUUACCUAUGUAACAAACCUGCACUUGUACCCCUGAACUUAAAAUUAAAAAAAAGAAACUUACCUUGUGUCUAUUUGCAGUCUGUUUUUCCCGCUUUAAACCCUAAUGAACCACUAAUCUGCUUUCUGUCACUAUAAAUUAGUUUAGCUUGCUCUAGAAUUUGACACAAAUUACAUUGCACACUUUUUGCUUUUUUAUACUCUUGUGUCUGCCUACUGUUAUUCAGCAUAAUAUUUCUGAGAAUCAUCCAUGUUGUUGUAUGUAUCAGCAAUUUGUCCUUAUUUCUCAAUAGUAACUCAAGUUAGAAAUAUACCACAAUUUAUUUAUCCAGUCAACAGCUCAUGGACAUUUGAAUUGUUUCCAGAUUUUGGUCAUUUUGAAUAAGGCUACUAUUCAUGAAUAGUCCCAUUCAUAUAAAUGAACAGGUAUUUACAAAUAUUUCUGUAAACAUAUGUUUUUGUUUCUCUUGGGGAUGGAUUUCCUGGGUCAGGUGGUAGGCACAGAAUAACUUUACAAAAUCUACCAAACUGUCUUCCAAGGUGAUUAUACCAAGGAUCAGUUUUAAAUAAACUCAAGGCUUUAAAAAAAUUGGCCAUGCAGGAGACAACAAUUUAUGCUGAACAUCCAUGAGAAGGGUUAAAUGUUACUGUUUCUCAGGAAUAAGGUCCCUGCCCUCCGUAUCACCUCUGAUCAACUUCAGGGCAGCCUUUCUUAUAGACACCUGGUGAGAGUUCACUUCUGAUUACUUUACCCUUAUAGUAUAGCCUUUUGAACCAUCUUAAUGUGGGGAGUGUUUUCUCCCCUUCUUAGGCAGAUCAUGGAAUUUGCUUUCUAUCAUCUUCUAAGGCCAUCAGAACCAAAGAUCAACCUUCCCAGACCAGCAAAUGCCUUUAGAACCCAAGAGGGUUCUGUGCUCUGCUUACCUUCCUGUGCUUUCAUUUUCCCUUAGAUUUUAGCUGGGGAAUUUCUUACAUCUUGGCAGCUUUUCAAUGAUUGCAAAUAAAAAUCUUUUGUAUUUUUCCCAAAAUUGUAGGUCUUUUCAGAAGUAGGGUUGGUUCUAAUAACUAAGUCCACAACAACAUUUGUUCUUUUCUUUCACCUCCUCUGUUAUAUCAGGAAACCGGCCUGUUUUAUAUCCUCCUCAUGUUUCUAAAUUGAUUAAAUUUUUAUAGUUGGAAUGCAUUCCACUUAUAAUCAGCAAAAAUAAUAAAGAUAUUUCAAAUUUGGAAAAAAUAGUGAUUAUCUUUAAAUUUUUUCUAUGAGAAGUAUUUUCCCUACUUCCUUUAAAAGGACAAGCUAAGGUUUUUUUUUUUUUUUUUGAGAUGAAGUCUCGCUGUGUCACCCAGGAUGGAGUACAGUGGCAUCAUCUCGGCUCACAAUCUCCACCUCCCAGGUUCAAGCGAUUCUCCUGCCUCAGCCUUCCAAGUGGCUGGGAUUACAGGUGCACAC
ensembl:lncRNA